UACGAAGGGGGCUAGCGUUGUUCGGAAUUACUGGGCGCAAAGCGCGCGCAGGCGGUUCUUUAAGUCAGGGGUGAAAGCCCAGAGCUCAACUCUGGAAUUGCCUUUGAAACUAGAGAACUUGGGUACGGGAGAGGUGAGUGGAAUUCCGAGUGUAGAGGUGAAAUUCGUAGAUAUUCGGAAGAACACCAGUGGCGAAGGCGGCUCACUGGCCCGGUACUGACGCUGAGGUGCGAAAGCGUGGGGAGCAAACAGG
rnacentral:rRNA from 1 species